rnacentral:rRNA from 1 species
CCUACGGGCGGCAGCAGUGGGGAAUAUUGGACAAUGGGGGCAACCCUGAUCCAGCCAUGCCGCGUGUGUGAAGAAGGCCCUCGGGUUGUAAAGCACUUUCAGUGAGGAAGAACGCCUGGUGGUUAAUACCCAUCAGGAAAGACAUCACUCACAGAAGAAGCACCGGCUAACUCCGUGCCAGCAGCCGCGGUAAUACGGAGGGUGCGAGCGUUAAUCGGAAUUACUGGGCGUAAAGCGCGCGUAGGUGGCUUGAUAAGCUGGUUGUGAAAGCCCCGGGCUCAACCUGGGAACGGCAUCCGGAACUGUCAAGCUAGAGUGCAGGAGAGGAAGGUAGAAUUCCCGGUGUAGCGGUGAAAUGCGUAGAGAUCGGGAGGAAUACCAGUGGCGAAGGCGGCCUUCUGGACUGACACUGACACUGAGGUGCGAAAGCGUGGGUAGCAAACAGGAUUAGAUACCCGUGUAGUC